CAAAUAUAAUCCAGGCUUGUCAUUGAAGCAUGAAUAAUUAGCGUAAAAGAAAACAUAUCCCGCGAUGUAAACAUCACUCUUAUCAUCAUAUUUUGAUCGGAACUCCUCAACUUGUCCUUCCACCACAGGGAAUUUAAGGUCAAACGUUGUAAGGACAGGCUUGAACCCUCCGUUUGUUGUAUUUUUGGGUUCUUUAAAAGGGGUGGGAGAGACUUCAAGUAUAAGUAUGGAUGGCCCGUAGAAAAGUGGUAGAGGGUUUUCUUUAAAGAGCAAGUUAGCUAAGGAGGACUCAGUAGCUUUGUAUAAAUGAGUAUAGUUAUGGUAUACAUGUAUUUGGUAAAACAAUUGGUAUAUAUGAGACAGAUCAGACAUUGUAGCGAGACGAACUCUUGUAUAUAUCUUUCGAGUGAUGGUAACGUUAUUGUUUUCCGAUGAUGCAUCGGUGAUUAUUGUUUCACAUGGAGUAAGAAGUUGAAGAGCAGGAGCCAUGGGAUAUUAUAUUGUUUAGUUAAGUUUGAUCGAGGAAUAUUGAGGUUUAAGAUAAAAGAAAUGUUGAAAGGUUUAGUAAUGGGAUAAUAUUGUGUUUGGGAUCAUAAUGGUUAUUUAUAGUGAAGAAUUUGACCCUUUUUAAAAUUUGGAAUUUGCUCCGAUUCCCUCUAUUUUAUUUUCAAAUUUAGUAAAAAAAAAUAUUUCCUACAAAUUUUAAAAUCCAUUAAUUUGUAUAUUUUCCAGCUAGACAUGGAGAGUUUAAUUUUCUGUUUUUAGCCUUUUAUAGGAGAGAUUGACGUGAUGUAUUUUGGAGGUAAGGUUUGGUCCCCUCGUGUUCCACCUUUUUGAUGGAAUACAACACAUUUAAAAUUAUAGAAUAUGAAUCUAACAAGAUUUUUAUUUAACGUGACAAAUAAUAACCCUCAAAACAUUUGCCGGUAAAAGAAUAUUUUCUUUUAUUUCACGGAAAAAAAGAAGAAGAUAAAAGAAUAUUCUUAAAAACAUACUUCUUUCUUUUUCCCCUUCAAAAUACAUAUGUAGCCACACUUUCUCCUUUUAACCUUGUGAUAAUUUUGGUAUUUUAUAUUUGUAAUUUUGAUAAUCUCUAAAAAUUAUUUUUUAUUUCUUGUUCUUUAUUUUUAGGUUUUUGUUCACAUUGAUAAUCUUAACUUCUUUUAUUUGUUUUCAUUUCUCAACACAUAGUAUUUCAAAGACAAAAUUUACUGUCAUUUAGAUAUGUACUUGACAAAAUUUUGGAGAAAACAUAAUGGAGAGGAGGUGGAGAUGAUUUUUCCAACGAUAAAAAAUUCUGGUAAUCAUCAUUUCAAAAGUGAUUUCUAAAGAGUUAAGUCAUUCAUAUAAUUGGUUUGAGUUAUCCAUCAAAAUUUGGCCACCAUUUUUUAUGUAGUUGAUAGUAUUAACUAUUCUUCUCAUAAUUUUUACAUGAUAUUAUAUUAUUUUUAGUUAGUUCCAAAAGAAAAUGACGCAUUGUAAAAGUAACUAAUGUUAUCAAUAUUUUAGUUAUGUUGAGUUUCAUUUAUGGGUAAAAAAAAACCAUAGAAGGGUACCCUUCUUGAGGAGAUAGAUUCGGAACAUUGCAAAAUCAUCCCUUAUUUCUUAAGUUUCGUGUCCAUUAUCCAAUUAAACUAUGUCACAAAAAUUUGAACCGAGAAAAUACUCUUUAAUAAUUAAAAAAGAAAAGAACCAAGUGGGUUUAUAGGACCACGCAAAAUAUCAUAAACAUGUUAUAUAAACACUGUAGGAACAAACUGACAAUUUCUUAACAUAAAAAUGUUGACUUUUUCAUCAACUUCUUAUCGUACAAACUACAAAUGUAAACAUCUACGAAGGAACCGAUGAUUCAUCCCAAAAAAAAAAUGUUGACAAUUUUAGCAAUAUGGAUAAAAAUUCUAUGAAUUACAUAUGCGACUUGAGAUUAAAGUCAAAUAAUCAAGUCGUUAACAUUGUGGAACAUGCUUUAGAGAAAAAAUAUUUUCCUUUUAAAUGAACUUUAUCGUGAAUUUUCCAUGAUUCCGUAAGUGGAAAUUAAGUCGAUCACGCAAAUAAUUCAUGAAACAUGUGUUUCCCUAAAUGGAAAUUAAGUCCAUCACGCAAAUUUGUUGAAUGUUGUAAGACAAUGACAAUCCUAGUUAGGGCGUCUAUAGUACAGUUUAAUCAGUUAUUUUUCAAAAAUUUAUAUCAUAUUAAUUUUUGGUUAUUUUAUUUUGUAUGAUAAAAAUUAGACUUUGUGAGAUCGUCUCAUCAUAUCGAUUUUUCUAUAAUAUCGAUGUGGGUUCAAUAAUGUUCAGUAUAUUUAAAAAAAAACAUUUUUUAGAUAUUUUUUAAAAAAAAACUCUCUAGAUUAUAUUUUUUACUAUUUAAAAGGUGGUGAAUUUUGAAAAAUGAUAAUAAUAGUGAUGCACAACGGGAUAAAAUAUAUUCCUAAUAUCUUAUAACUCUCUACUCAAGAUCGUUAAUAACUUUUGUAGAUUUUACACAAAUUUCAUAGUGUUAACAGCUAAUUACAUCUUAUCCCUACUCUUUUUCAAAUUACAAAAAUCCCUUAAAUUUGGUGGAAUCCAGAUAUAUUCGAAACCAUCACGAUACACUGUGUCCUGGUUUCAAAUACAUCCCUGAUACAUCGCGUCUCAAUUUCAAAUACAUCACUCAACGUCAUGAUACAUCACGUAUGUCCCGAUAUAUCGCGUAAUGUAAUAUAUCCGAUUGAUACAUCACGUAAAGCAAUGUAUUCAACCAAUACGUCACAUAAAAUAAAAUUUUUUGUAAUUUUUUUAAAUGAUAAGAAUUUUAGAGAAUAUAGUAAAAUAAAUAUUGUGUUUAGGUAAUUUUUCCUUACUUGUAACCACUCAAGAUGUGAUGCAACUUAUAUUUGAUUUCAUCCUUCCAAUAAGGCCCAAAAUGAAAACUUUAAUUUAAUGCAUCAUUGGAUAUUAUUCCUCUGGUCAGUUUGUUUAGCACAAAUAUGAUUAGUCAUGACAAUAAACGUUGGAAACAAUAAUUAUCCAGGAAACACGUGUUUCUGUAAAUGGAAAUUAAGUCAAUCACGCAAAUUUGUUGAAUAUUUUAAGACAACGACAAUCCUAGUAGAAGUAUCUAUAAUACGAUUCAAUUAGUUAAUUAUUUUUUACAAAUUAUAAUUGUACAAAUUUUUAGUUAUAUUAUUUUGUGUAAUAAAAAUUAGACUUUGUAAUACCGUCUUAUCAUAUUGAUUUUUUUUCAUAUUAAUGUGGUUUCAUUAAUUUUUAGUAUUUUUCUUAAAACGUCAUGUAAGAAUCAGAAGUAAAAAUUAGAAUAGGAUAAUAUGUAAAUAUUCUUUCGUAAAAUUUCUGAAAAAAAUUCUAGGAUUCUUUUACUAGUUAAAAAAUUGUGAAUUAGAAAAACUUGAAAGAUGAAAAUAAGAUAUAUACCAAUUUGCUAUUCAAGAUCGUUAAUUAAUAACGUAUAAUUACUCUGCAAAAAGACUUGUCAAACUAAGCAAUAUGCCACUUGCCACGUACCUGGACUGUAAAAGAAAGUGAUUUGGAAGCAGGGCCUCUCGUUCAUUAUCAAAUCUAGGUGCAUUACUAAAAUAUUUUACUAUUUUAUCCUUAAUAUUUUUCUAAUUUUCAAAAUAUCUUUUUCAAAACAAAAUUUCUUUUAACUUAAUUCUCAUCACUCUAUAUUCGUUCUUUUUUUCUUUUUUAACAAAGAUAAUUUAAGUUUUUGCAAAACUAUUGAAUUAAGGUGUUUUAGCUAUUCCACGAAUAUGACUAUUUAUCAACAUUUUUUUUAUCAAAUACAACAAUUGUUUAUCAGUCGUUUUACCAUUUCUAUCCAAACAUGUUUAGUUAUAAGAUCGACUUCAUCACUUAAAAAAUGAUUUUCAACAUUUAAUAAUAUAAGAGAUCAUCUUUGCCAUUUUUGUUUUAUAGAAAGAUAUAAUUCUUUGUGAUAAAGUUUAAAAACAUAGAACCCAGGGAUUUAAUAUAAUAUCACAAUUACCAAUUUUAUUUUUUUUCAAAUUACAAAUAUAAUGAGCAUUCUGGUUUUACAAUAUUAUUACAAAUAGAUACUAAUAAAUUGCACAAUUAAGCACACAAAAAGCCAUUCUCUACUAACAGCUCCCUUCGCCGUUUUCGUCCUUGUUAUCAGCAUACUUUUGAAGAUUUUCACCAUGCAACUUUCCAUACCUGAAUUCAUCAAAAAUUUCAACUCCCAUAUUUAUGUAAAAAUCAUAUGACUUCUUAUUCCAAACUGCCACUAUUCCCUCUACCGAUACGAACCCAUUGUUGGCAGCAAUAGACGCAACUGUUCCAAACAACAAACUCCCCAUUCCCAACUUUCUAUAACUCUCCCUGAAGUAAAGACUCUCAAAAUAAAAUCCAGGCUUGUCAUAGAAGCACGAAUAAUUCGCGUAAAAGAAAGCAUAUCCCGCGAUGUAAACAUCACUCUUAUCGUUCCCAUCAUCAUAUUUGGAUCUGAAUUCCUCAACUUGUCCUUCCACCACAGGGAAUUUAAGGUCGAAGGUUUUAAGGACAGGCUUGAGCCCUUCAUUUGUGGUAUUUUUGGGUUCGUUAAAAGGGGUUGGAGAGACUUCAAGUAGAAGUACGGAUGGCCCGUAGAAAAGUGGAAGAGGAUUUUCUUUAAAGAGCAAGUUAGCUAAGGAGGACUCGGUAGCUUUGUAUAAAUGAGUAUAGUUAUGGUAUUCAUGGAUUUGGUAAAACAAUUGGUAUAUAUGAGACAGAUCAGAUUUCGUAGCCAGACGGACUCUUGUGUAUAUCUUUCCAGUGAUGGUAACGUUGUUGUUUUCCGAUGAAGCAUCGGUGGUUAUUGUUUCAGAUGGUGUAGGAAGUUGAGGAGCAGGAGCCAUGGGAUGUUGUUUAGUUAAGUUUGAGAAGAAUGAGGUUUUAGAUAAAAGAAAUGUUGAAAGGUUUAGUAAUGGGAUAAUAUGGUGUUUGGGAUCAUAUAUAAUGGUUAUUUAUAGUGGAGAAUUUGGUCCUUUGUUAAAAAAAAAACAUUAUUUCGUUAGUGAGGUUGGUGGAGUUGGUGCAAGUGGGAGUGGGUGCAAGAGAUGUUAUAGGUAGGGACCAUGCAAAAAAAAAUAUAGCAAAAAAGUCGAAAAUGUUAAAAUUGUAGGAACAAAUUGACAAUUCUUAACAUAAAAAAUUUUGACUUUGUAUGAACAAAGACUUUCACCAACUACUUAUCAUACAAAUGUUAACAUCUACGAAGAACCGAUGAUCCUUCCAAAAUCAAAUGUUGACAAUUUCAGCAAUAUGGCCAAUAGAAAAUUUAUGAGGUGUGAAAAUCAAAUGAAGUCGUCAACAUUGUCUAGCUCUAUAAUGCUUACCGAGAUGCAUGAAAGCUAAACAAGGAUAAUAUUCAUUCACACCAACCCAGACCGUCGUGAUUGGCACCCACACUAAUCCUCCGGUGGAAGAACCAUUACUACAACCCAACUAAGCAGCCUUGACCCAAAAUACUACACAUUUAAAGAUACGGAAGCAGGUUUGAAUGACUAUAUAAUUAAUACGGAGUCCCCAUAAACUCCGAAAGUUCAACUAACAUCUAACAACUAAUGCGGAAAUACCCCUAGAGCCUGAAAGUCAUUGUACCAAAACACUACUAACAACAAGGGGUACAACCCUGGAACUAAACAACACCUUAAACAACUAGUCUAAGUCCGAAAAGAGUGGACUUAAACAAGAAAGAUCCAUGGCAGCCUGAAAAAACUGGCUCACCCUUGAAUCCGGUCACGCUCAAUAGUCACCUAGCUGAGGUCUAUCAAUAGCCGCCUGAAGAUGCCAUGUACUCAACAAAGAACAAGCAAGUGCAGCAUCAGUACACAACCACAGUGUACUGGUAGGAUCACGCGGCUACCCCAAUAAGUGCAACAUAAGCAAGUAAUUACAACAUCAUAAACAUGCAUAUACCGAACAUAUACAAUAUCAGUCAUCUUAGCAGGAAACAUGUUCAAUUCCACAUUAUCAAUAGUAGGUAGAUACAAAAAUAUCAAUCACAAGUCAAUGGUCCUCUCAUGGAACCCACACCCAAACUGUUAGUGUAUCGAUACGUGGUACCUGAUCCAAUGUUUAUGUCGAAACGUGGCAAUCGAUCCCAUAUUUAUGCCGGAACGUGGCAACCGAUCCAAGUUAGUGUGUCGGAACGCAACACUCGAUCCAUUCAACUAGCCACAAUCAUAAUCACAAGUAUAUUCUCAAAUCAUACAAUCAAGUCAUGAUUCAUGACAUUCAUCAUUCAUCUAUCCUCAUUUAUAAUUAGUGUGAUGAAUAAUGCAACAUUCACAUACAUACAUGUAUUAUAAUGAAGCAAGAGCAAACAUACAUCACACAACAUGAAAUCACAACCAUCACCUACCUCGAAUCCAAGAUUGAAUCCCCUAAGUCACUUGAAUCUUCCCUUUCCGGAUUCUUUUACACUUAUUCUAGGUCUACAACAAUUAAUAUACAAAAGGAUCAACAAUCAAAGGUAUAAUUAUCCGGAUUAUAACAAACUCAAUAACCCAAGACCAAACCCGAUCCCAAUAUCCCAAAUUAGGGCUUUUUCCACCAUAAUUCUCAGAUCAAAACCUUCCCCCAACAAUAAUUACCCAAGAAACUACGUUCUACGGAUCGAAAUACGGAUUCGGGGAGUGAAAACCUUACCUUUAGCCUCAAGAAUGGUGGAAAACGCUCAAGAAAACACCUGGGGUCGUUCCUUUGCUCUCAAAGUCGAAAAGUGCAGAAUAAAACAUUUUUGGGGUUUAUUUCCGACUUAAGUCACGUCUGUCCUGCUAUGGUGGCCCAAGUCCCGCCACAGCGGCUCCGUGCUGGUGGGAAAAUCCCACCUCAGCGGCUUGCACGGAACAAUGAGCAAUUUUAAGAGUUUCAAAACCCCCUUUUCACAACACACCUUCAUCCCACAACUCUCAUAAAAUACCCGCUCGUGCUAAGACCAUUUUCGGAAGUUCUACUAGCCCGAAUUCAAUUCCGUAAAGUCGUACAGAUUCCUUAACGUCUUAGCUAUCUACUCAUAAGAUCAAAUUCACAAUUGGACCUUUCAUUUGCUACCAGAUUUCCCUAGACCUCAUUGACUCUGAUUUCGUCCAAAUCUGGACUAGACUAGAAAAUCUCAAAUUACUACGAAAAGAUUUUCUGGCCCCAAUUCCUUCCCCUAAUUUGGGUUUUCGAUUUUUAGAAAUAUUAUAUUAUUCCUAUUCCACAUUAAUUUGGUAUAAUUUGAUAGUUUAAAGUUCAAUUUCGAUAUUAAUAUAUAAUAGAUAAUUAUGUCUUUGAUUUUUAAAAGAACACCUUUAACUAUAUCAUACUACUAACUUAAAUGGCUAAACAUAUAAAAAUGUUCAAAAGAAAAUACAAAUAAUUUUCUUAUUAAUUAAUUACAAAAUUAAUAAAAUGCACAUACCAAAAUCAUAAUACCGUAUUUCUUGUAUUAAAAACUUUUAUUUCAAAUAUGGUAAUUUGAUAUCUAUCUACCCUGAAGAAUAAUAUAUAAUAUACCACAAUGCUAGCUGCAUCUCCAAUUAAUUAAGUAAAUAAGUAAAUCAUGGAGUUUAUAAAAUAAAUUAAGUACUAUUUUCUACAUCUCAAUAAUUAAUAAUUUAAAAGAUAAUAAAAUAAAUGAAAUAUGAUUAAAGAAUAAAUUAUUUGACUCUUCAAAUUUAAACAUCAUUAUUAAAUUGAAAAGAAAAUAAUAAUACCGUCUUGAUAUAGUCCAAUCUGUUUUUUUUCUCCCAAUCACAACACUCACUUUCGUUACAAAAUUUAUAAUAGACGAUAAAAUUUAGAGGUAGUUAUUACCUUUAUAUUUUUGGUGUGAGAAUUCUAAGCCUAUCAUUGGCGACAUGUCCUAAUAAUUAUUAGAUAAUUUACUGAAAUAUCACUCCAAAAUUAUUAGAUAAUUAAAUAUCACUCCAAAAUAAAAACAUUGGUGCAAAUGACAUCAACAAAUUAAAUUGGAUAAGGAUACACUUGAUAGAUGAGUAUGAACAUUAUUAUUCAUUACGUAACGAACCUUGGACUUUUCAAUAGGUUUUAAUUAAUAGAAAUUAUACUAUAGCUAUUUUUCUAAGUUUGGAGGUUUCCGUUAUUAGCUCGUAAAAAUAAGUACAACUAACGAAGCCUAAGAAUGGAGGAAAGAUGCAUAUCUAAUAUGGCAAGGGAGAAAACCCUGUGAUUUCCCAAAUAAUAUUUGUGCCAAAUAAAAUUAAAUCAUGAAUCACAGAGAUUAUGUUAUAUAUGAUAACCAAUUUAGAAUUAAUACAAAUGUAAUGAGCAUUCUGCUUUUACAAGAUUACAAAUAGAAAUGUAUGAAUUGAACUUUCAACAUAUAAAAGAAAAACACACUAACAACUUCCUUCUUCAUUUUUCUCCUUCUUAUCGGCAUACUUUUGAAGAUUUUCACCGUGCAAUUUUCCAUACCUAAACUCAUCAAAUAUUUCAACUCCCAUAUUUAUGUAAAAAUCAUAUGAUUUCUUGUUCCAAACUGCUACUAUUCCCUCUACCGAUACGAACCCAUUGUUUGCAGCAAUAGAUGCAACUGUUCCAAACAACAAACUCCCCAUUCCCAACUUUCUAUAACUCUCUCUGAAGUAAAGACUCUCAAAAUAAAAUCCAGGCUUGUCAUAGAAGCAUGAAUAAUUAGCGUAAAAGAAAGCAUAUCCCGCUAUGUAAGCAUCACUCUUAUCAUCAUAUUUGGACCUGAACUCCUCAACUUGUCCUUCAACGACAGGGAAUUUAAGGUCGAACGUUGUAAGGACAGGCUUGAACCCUUUGUCCGUGGUAUUUUUGGGUUCGUUAAAAGGGGUUGGAGAGACUUCGAGUAGAAGUACGGAUGGACCGUAGAAAAGUGGAAGAGGGUUUUCUUUAAAGAGCAAGUUAGCUAAGGAGGACUCAGUAGCUUUGUAUAAAUGAGUAUAGUUAUGAUAUUCAUGGAUUUGGUAAAACAAUUGGUAUAUAUGAGAUAGAUCAGAUUUCGUAGCAAGACGAACUCGUGUGUAUAUCUUUCCAGUGAUGGUAACGUUGUUGUUUUCCGAUGAUGAGUUGGUGGUAAUUAUUGCUUCAGAUUGUUGAAGAGCAGGAGCCAUAGUUGUUUAAGGCGAAAGGAGUGAGAUGAAGUAUUUUAGUAAUGGGAUAUUUAUUGUAUGAUGAAAAGAUAUUAGGAUAACAACAUAUUUAUAGUGGAGAAUUUUGUCCCUUUAAAUUUUUUAUAAUUGUUUAUUUGGUUGGUGGACGUCAACUGAAACGUACGUGUUAGAUAAAAGGGUCAGGCAAGUUGCAUCUGAUGAAAUUUCUUUUCUUUUUCCUAUUAAAAUUUGGUGGGAGCCGUAAAUUAAAGUUGACUCAUCUUACAAAUGUAAUCAUUUUAUACUGUAAAAAAAACUAGAAUAAAAAUAUAUCUAAACUAAAUCAUUUAAAAUGGCAAUAAGCUGUUUUCUUUUUAUAAUUUUACCAUAAAAUAGAUACUUAUAUUUUAUGUUCUUUCAUCACUUUUACAGUUUUACUUACGUUAAAAACAUACUAUGAUAUUUCUUUUUUUUUUUUUAAAAAAAAUGAAUGUAAAAGUUCUCAUCUAACGAGAGGACUUUGUCAAAGUUGCCAGUUGCCACUUACGGCGUAACUUCUUAAAGAAAAAUUGACUUUUCUUCCUCCACGUGGUAUAUACUGAGGUCGCAUCAUAAGUAAUUGAAAAUUUUAUUUCGAUGAUUUUGAUUUUUAAUUUUUUAAAAUUAUAUUCACAAUAAUUUAAUUUAAGUUUGAUUUUAAUAUUUUACAAUAUAAUUAUUUAUUCGAUUCACCUUACAUAUUAUAGAUGUAAGUUCAAUUAUAUAUACUUCAGUAUGAUAUGUGUUUUUAUAUAACUAUUAAAUACUGUAUCAAAUAUUAAAGAAAAUGAAAUUUAAUAUUAUACUUCUUCUAUUUUAAUUCGUUGGUCAUAUUUUUCUUUUUAAAUCUGUUUAAAAAAAAAUCUUUGAUUUUUUUUAUCACUCUUUAAUUUUAAUAUUCUACAUGAUAUAUUUUAGAUCGCAUAAUUAUUUUUUAAAAUAUAUUUGACAUAUCUUUAUUUAACACCAUAAAAUUCAAUUUUUUUUUAAUCUUUUACUCUUUCUUUUUAACUUUCUAUCAAAUUAAAACAUGAGAAACAAACUGAAACAAACACACGACCAAAUAUCACAAAUAUAAUAACAAAAUUGAGAUAUUAAAAUUUCAAUAUAAUAAUUAGAUAGCUAUUGUACCAUUUUCAUCCCAAUAUAAUAUUGAAGAAUGGCAUAUAAUAUUACCCUUAUUUAGAAGUGGCACUUCUAAAAGGGACCAAACACAGCAACAAAUACUUGUACAAAAAGUAAUAUUUAUUGUACCAUAAUUUGAUGUCAAGUCAUUGUCUUAUUGGUGAAUAGUACCACUUUUCCGGUAAUGUUAACACGUAUUGAGCCUUUGUUAUUUUCCUUUCUAGGCUGACACAUAUUUACUUUUAAAAUCCGGGUAAUUGGGUCAAUUUGGAUCAAUUUUGGGGAUUCCGUCUAAAUGAGGGGUAAUUUUGGUGAAAUUAGUAACGGGAGGGGUACGAUUAACUUCAUUUUAACGGCGAGGGUAAAGUCAAACAAUAAACCAAAGUUGGGGGGUAUUUUUGACCCCUUUCCCUUGAUUUUUUUCUCACAAAAUUUCAAAUAUCUCACUAUUUGCUUUUUAAAAAAUAAAUUUUCAAUUUUGGCUCGACUGGCUUUCAAAUCUCCUACUCUGAUUAUUCACACCUACACUAAUUUUAUUUACUUUCAAAUAUUUUACCAAUAUUUAGAAAUGACAGUUGUUGGGACGAACACAACAUUAAAAAAUUGUACCGAAAGCUAUCCAAAUUGAACACAACACUAAUUGGUUGUACGAACAGCAAUUUAAUUACAAGUGGGCUCCAUUUCAUUGCUAAUUGAGCUUUAUGGUCUUUUCUUUUCUCCUUAUAUAAAAGAGACACUUUCAAGUUUCAACAUGUUAGCUUAAUGUCAAAUAAUUUAAAAAUAAGGAUAUUUCAAUCAUUUAGGUCUAUGAAAAAGCUGAUGUAUGAAAACUACGUGUCUUUCUUCUAUAAAAGGUUAAGGGCAAAUUGGUCACUGAACCAUAUUAUAUGUGGCAACUUAAUAGCCUAAAGUCCUUUGUGUCCAUUAAUAUUGCUCCACCUGCUAGCCAACAUUUAAGUCAUCUCUGUCUUCUUUCUUUUCUCUCUUGACUAUUAGAAUUAGAAUUAGAAUAGUUGUUGCAAAAAUUCGAGGUUGUGAUGAUGAUUUUCUUCUUUGUUUUCUCCGAGAUUGAGAAAAUUGAUAGUGUAAGAGAGCAAUCGGACCCGUAUCUUGGUGGGGCAACCCGGAUGGAAGGUUAUCCUGCAACCGGUGCUUGCAGUUAUGGCGGUGAUUCCAAUCUCUCUUAUCGUAUUACAAAUCCGAGCUUCAAUGUUUAGAUUUCUUAGGGUCUAUUGAAAAUCGCCUCUUUACCUCCACAAGAUAGAGGUGAGACUACACUGACUUAUUGUUGUUGCAGUUGGAAAAUUCGCAGUUCAAAAAAAUACAACAGAAUUUCUCAUAAAAGUAGCCUUAAGAAUUCAACUACUUCAAUACCAUGCCAUAACAUGACAUUUUAAAUUAUUUGUGUGUUUGCAUGUUUUUGGGAUUUAAUUUUAAUUUUAAUUUUAUUGUUUUUGUUAUUUGUUGAAUCCAAAUAUGAUUCUUUUGAUAUUUGGAAUAGACACAUAACAGUGCUUUAGGUUUAAUCCAUCUCUCGCGUAUGGCAGUAUGUACCUUUUAGUAGACAGAAAGAGCAAACUCAAGUUGCACGGUAAGGUAAGUAUUCAUUUUCACUAUUAGCCUUUUGUUUCUUGGUUCAUUUUGUUGACCGGCUCUAUUCUUCCGAAAAUUUGUUUUGACAUUCAAAAAUCGACUUGACCAUGAAAUCAGUAGACAAUGAAGAAGAAACAGAGCAAGUAGUUUUAGAGCUCUUUAUGUGUGUCGUGGUGUUGUAUCAGGUAAAUUAUUAUAUCGUAUUUUUAUUAUCAUUUUUUGGUUAUCUCUAUUAUUUUUAUUUUUUAUUUUUUUUGGGUUCUACGUUGAGAUUUCUCUGCAUCCAAAGAAGACCCCAAUUCGAUUCUUCUAAUUCUAGGCAGAUUAGGUUGAUUUACUACAUUUGUAGAAUUUGACUCUUUGUUGAAUCCACUAAUUUGGGGGUUAAAAAUCUGGUAGCUCACUAGAUUUGCUUAACUGUUUAUUUACACAUAUUGCUCGAAUGUUAACCUGCUCCCUUUUUUCCUUCACUUUGCACUUUGAAAAUAUUUGUUGUCUAUGUCUUUUGCAUCUUUGUUGUUUCAAAUACAAGUAACUAACAACUAAUCAUUACUUUAUAAUUGUACAGGUAUUCCAUUUCAAGUUCAUAAGGAAGCUACAAGAGUCUAAUUUAUGAAUAGUUACCUUGUGUGUGAUGUUAAAGAGUGUAUUUUAGCAUUUUUAUCAAUAUAAAAAUGAAGUCAUGGACAUUGUUCCAAAAUGUCUAUGAAUUAUGUCUUGAGUUGCUUUUCAAGGAGUAAAGUGUGAGAAAGUAUUGUUUAAUGAAGAAGUUAAAUAGGUGCAAUUCAAUUUUGAGACCAAGUGUUGAGUUGGUCUUUCACAUUAAACUUGAGAAAAAAAAGGAACUAACUUCAGUAAAUGCAUAUUAGUACUAUAGGAUCUUACUCAUUCAUGAUGGCUUUCUUUUGUUACUUAAUUGUAAUUUUCCAAAACCUGUUUUGCUUGAACAGGGUUCAUCGUUUAGGGAAAUAUCAUAUUCGAAAAUAUUUUGCCACGAAUUGACAGGUUUGUUUAUUUGGUUCUUAUAAACUUUUGUAAAUUCUUCCAUACCUCCGUUUUACUUUUUAUUAUUGCGUGAAUCUGCGAAAGUUUUUGAUGUCUUUUAGUGCUAUGAAAGAAAGUCACUUUGAUAAUAGAAGUAUAGUAGGAUUUAUAAAUACUAGGAUUAGUCUAAUAACCUCUAGAAUUCAAAUUUUCGCUAAUGUUUGAGUAUAUUUAUAGUGAGGGACGUUCAUGUCACGAGUUUCAACUCUGACGUCGACCCAAAGUUGGGGAAAGUAUUUAAGUGGAAACAUAACGGAGGGGCAUGUGCAUACUCUUCAGUAUUUCUGAUGAACAAUGAGGUUUGACUAGCUAACUAGAAGGGAAUUUUUCAACUAUUAAAUAAGACUGAGUCUUUUCUCGACUAAAAGGAUGUCUUUUAGUUUUAAACCAUAUACUUCUAUUGUUUUCUCCUUAGAGUUGUUGACCUCAUCCAAUCCUUGUCAUUUUGAUCAAUGUAUUUUGUUCCGCUAGAUUGUUGGACAGAUUGCAGGAGAAACAACACAGUAAAUUGGAUAAUGAAGCUUAUUUGGAUGAGAAUCACAUGCUAUUUAAAAAUAUCCAGUUCCUUGUCGAAGUAUUGCACCCUCUACUCUAUUUUAUUUCGUAUGAAAUCUCUUCUAAUUGCUGAUUUCUACACUUCACAAUCGCACACAUGGGCACAUUGGAUGAUUCUUUUGACGAUCCUUCAUAAUGUGGCAUUUUUAUUCAAGUUGAAAGAAGAGGUAAAGAAGCUUCAAUCAAUCCAGCAAGCUAAAAAUGGCGUUGACAUAGUCUCUGAGAUAAGGGUGAAGACUCAUUAUGCUACACCAAUUGGUGCUGAUCAAAGAAUUGGCCAGUGCUUAUCUAGCAUCUUUAAUUAUUAUUCAUUCUUGUUAAUGAUGAGGUUUAGUUUUGAGGUUUAUUGAAAAAUCAAGGUAAGGUCUACCUACAUUCUACCUUGAUGAGAUCCCACUUGUGGGAUCAAACUAGGUAUGUUGUUGUUAUCGUCGUCAAAUUAGUAAUGUUUUGCUCCAUUUUUCAGAUUCUUAUAUUUGAAUUUGUGCAUAUGAUGUGUCUUUUACUGUAGUCUACAAAGGAGAUCGAAUUGCCACAUACUUUGUUAAGUGGUUGGGGAAGAGUACUAUUGGUUUGUCAUAUGGAUUGGCCCUGAGUGAGGCUUUGAUUGCACCUGCAAUGUCUAGCACUACGGCAAGAGCUGGUGGGGUAUUUUUGCCUAUUAUUAAGUCUCUCACUUUCAGCUGGAAGUAAGCGUGGUGAUCCCUCCUCCAGGAAGCUAGGAUCUUACUUGAUUCAAUCUCAAUUUCAGGUAUGCCUUUGUUUUGCCUGCUAUAGAUGUGUGGUGUGUCACAUAAUUAGAUGAUUUUAAUGAAAUGAAAACACUCUUUAUGGAUACAUGAAUUAGUACUAACCAAAUGAUCCUAUUAAUCAAGAAUUCAAUCUAUAUACACCAAUGGUGAAAAUAGGUUUUGAGCCAUUGAGGUAACAUUAAGUUUGUAACCUGGAAAAUAAGGUUAUUAGCAUGCUAAAAUAGGUUAAGCUAUUAAGUUAUAUCCAUAGGGUAAUUUUUGAGUGAUCUUUGUCUGAAGACUGAUAUUUAUCUUGAAUUUGCAACAGAAGACAUUAUGCAUUUGAUCAAGUAUUACUAUCUUUUCGGUUGUGCAUCUGUCUCUUUGAAGAAUACAUAACAUAAAUGGGGUAUGGAAUGAUGUCAGCUAUAUGAAGCUCUUAACCUGCAAAUUCAUUGCUGAGAACUCAAAUCUAUCUAGAAUUGCUUUAAUAGCUUCCAUAACUAAAAGGGAUAAAAAUGAAUUGUUUGGUUGUUGAAAAUAGCUUUUACCUGUCAGCACUUUAAUAAUUUUUUUUUUCUUUAAAAGCAAUGAAAAACAACUUUAUCACAUGUUGUUUUGUAUUUUUAAAUUAAAAUUAGCUAUAUGUUAAAAAUAGAUGUAAAAAAUAUGUGUGGAAAUAUAAUCCUCUAGCCUUUUGAUAUUCUCAACUCUCAAGUGUAUAAAAGAUCUUGAUUCUGGAGAAGAACAAAGGGGAUGUAGAGGCAUUUCGAUAUUGUUGUGGUGAUUCCGAACAUUUUCAACAUGUAGGUUGAAAAAUCUAAUGCGAAGUCUCUGCUGACCAAACUGUCUAGAAUAUAUGUGCAUUCUUCCUGCUUAUCGAGUUCUUGGUUACAUUGCUUGGCUGAUUAUCCCUUGUGCAAUAGACAUAAUAUAUAUGUUGAUAUUCUAUCUGUUGUUGUUAUAUAUAUAUAUAUAUAGAUAGAUAGAUAGAUAGAUAGAUAGAUAGAUAGAUAGAUAGAGAGAGAGAGGGAGAGGGAGAGGGAGAGGGAGAGGGAGAGGGAGAGGGAGAGGAAGAGGGGGAGGGAGAGAGAGAGGGAGAGAGGGGGAGAGAGAGAGGGAGGGAGAGGGAAAGGGAGGGAGAGGGAGAGGGGGAGAGAGAGAGGGAGGGAGGGAUGGAGGGAGGGAGGGAUGGAGGGAGGGAGGGAUGGAGGGAGGGAGGGAUGGAGGGAGGGAGGGAUGGAGGGAGGGAGGGAUGGAGGGAGGGAGGGAUGGAGGGAGGGAGGGAUGGAGGGAGGGAGGGAUGGAGGGAGGGAGGGAUGGAGGGAGGGAGGGAUGGAGGGAGGGAGGGAUGGAGGGAGGGAGGGAUGGAGGGAGGGAGGGAUGGAGGGAGGGAGGGAUGGAGGGAGGGAGGGAUGGAGGGAGGGAGGGAUGGAGGGAGGGAGGGAUGGAGGGAGGGAGGGAUGGAGGGAGGGAGGGAUGGAGGGAGGGAGGGAUGGAGGGAGGGAGGGAUGGAGGGAGGGAGGGAUGGAGGGAGGGAGGGAUGGAGGGAGGGAGGGAUGGAGGGAGGGAGGGAUGGAGGGAGGGAGGGAUGGAGGGAGGGAGGGAUGGAGGGAGGGAGGGAUGGAGGGAGGGAGGGAUGGAGGGAGGGAGGGAUGGAGGGAGGGAGGGAUGGAGGGAGGGAGGGAUGGAGGGAGGGAGGGAUGGAGGGAGGGAGGGAUGGAGGGAGGGAGGGAUGGAGGGAGGGAGGGAUGGAGGGAGGGAGGGAGAGGCUUCAAUAAAUUUUAACAUGUGUGCUUAUUUGUUGUUCAAUUGGAAAAUAAGGGUAGGUGUAUAAGCCAACUAAACCAGAGAGCACGUAGUGGAGGCCUAUGUUUCUAUCCCUUGCAAAAGCUAAGGAAUACAUGUAGUGGAGGCCUAUAUUUCUAUUCCCCGCAAAAGAUAAGGGAAACAUCUCUUAACUUGUUAGCAUGGACGCCGAUGUACUUGAAAAUAUGAUCUGCAAGGAGGCCAGAAAGAGAGAGUCGCUGCAAUUGCUUGCAUUGUUGCAAAUGGCCCCAAAACCAGCAUCAACUACAUGUAUUGCAAAUGACUUAAUACAGUAACUGCAUUUGUAAAAAAAUUGAGAAUAUCUCUUGUUAAAUUUUGCAUUUUUCUUUGUAGAUUACCCUUUUCCGAGUACUUGUGUCCUUAGAGGUGCAAAAAAGCUUUAAUCUUUGCAUCUGAAUGUGACAACCCUGAUUACCUAACCCUUGGACUGCUUGACACUGGUUUUGGGGCCAUCAUUCACCAUUGCAGGCAAUUGUGACGAUUUCCCCGUUCACGCCUCCACUACGUACUCCUCCAGUUGUGUAAGCCUUUGUAAUCUGGAGAGAAGAGACUGCCCCUUCAGCAACGAGUCUCUGUUGGUCAAUGUUGCAAAGCCGGACACGGUAGGAUAUCUUUAGAUGCCUUGUUGUUCAGUAAUUUAUGGAUCAGAAGUUACCAAGGGUUAAUGUGUGUAAUGUGUACUUUUGCUUUUCUUAAGUGUGUAGUGUGUACUGCUUUCUGUACACGUGUAGCACGAAUUUUAUGUCAAAAAAAAGAAGGAAAUAUCCCAAUUCAUAUUGACUCUCACACCUUCCGCUUUACUCUCCCUCUCUCCAUUGCAAUUUCCAUGGUAGUCAUUAGCGUGUGAAAUUCAACUUUGUACUCCCUUUUAAGAUAUUUUUGCUUAAUUAAUUUAACAAAAAAAUUUGCUCCCGUCAAUACUCUUAUGAAGCAAAUACACUCUUCUUCAACUGUCUAAGAAAUUCUAAUCAUUUGAUCAAUUUCAUUGUUCAUCCUUCUUAAAUUUUCUACUUCAAAUUUCAAGCUUUGCAAGUACUAAAAUGGGUGGACAGAACACACAAAAAAAUGACUUAGGCUUUUGACAUUUUAUUAGGAGCAAUCUCGAUGACAUUCAUACAAAUAGAGAAUCUGUGUUGAUCCUUAUUUCUGGUGCGUGUUUGUUCUAUUCUGGUGUGUUGCCUGGGCCUAUCUUAUUGGCCAUUAAACUUUUUGACCUCUCUUUCAAACUUUGUGAUUUGCAUCACUGAAAGAGGGAGAAAGAGUGUUGCUUCAGGCUUUAAAUGUCGUUUUUCCUUGCUGGUAAAGACGCUCUUUCUCCCUUGCUCUUUCAAUAAUGCGUCUGUCUGUUUUAAUUUGUAUAUUGUAACACCUUCUUGGUGCUUUCGGUUAUGAAUAUAUAUAUAUUCUUUGAAAUACUAAAAUCUAUUUCUGGCUAAUGUAAUGACUUUUUACAGAUAUCUGAUGCCAUCAACGUUUGGCAUUUUAACUUAAGACUAUCUACAUGUUGUAUCCCUAGAUAACUUUUUGCAUUCAUGUAUUUCUGCUGCAAAAUAGAUUCUAGGGUUAAGGUAACUAAUUUUCUAAUGGAUUUUAUAUGUAUCAUUUACCUAAUAUGGAUCUGAAAAGGGGGUUUAUGAGGAUAGAGUGUACGCAGACCUUACCUCUACCUCGAGUAGGUAGGAGACACCAGCUGAGAAAUGUUGUUUCCAACUACAUGGUAUGAAGCUACAAAUAAAGAGUUAAGUUUUAAGCUUCUAAUUAUCUCUACAUUUUUCUAAACAUUCUAACUUAUCUAAUUUUUUGCUUUCUUAUUUUAUAUUUUGUGUUAUAUGUGUACUUAUGACCCUUACAUAUGCCGUGUUUAUUAUGGUAUGUUUACUAUGCUUCAAUUAAAUUAAUAUUUUACCUCUUUGCCGUUCUCUUCUUUUGUUGCAGUGGUGUAAAGAAUAUAGUCAAGAGCGAAAGAAUUUAAUUACCUAAACUUGGUUUUUGUGAUUGUACUGUUGAAAAUAUAUUUAUAUGUAUAAUAGUAGAGUUAUUCAUUUAUUAAUCUCUCAAUAUACAUGCUCCAAUUUCUUGGAUAUGGAAGAAAAAUGGCAUUAGAAUGUACGAUUCUUUAGAAUAUGUAUUCACAAUAGUUCAAUCCUUUGAGCUGCAUGUUGAAUUUUUAGUCCACUGUCUUGGUGGUUCAAUAGCUAAUCCUUGGAAUUCAUCUGAUCCAUAAAUUUGAUUUGGGUAAUAACAUUAGUAUCAUAGUUUGGUAAUCUUUAUUUUUGCAAGUAUAUAGACAUUGUUAACAUAAAAAUGGACCCAUUUGAAUUGGUGGUAAGUGAGUGGAUAUCAAUAUUUUAAGAAAAAAUCAGAAAAUCACCCAAGAAUUAGAUCCAAAAUUGACAACACAUCUACCUCCAAUAGAAAUGAAAAUCAGGGGGAAAAGGGGUGAGAAAAAUAAGAAAAUCAAAAUCUGCAAAAUCAAAACAAAAGAGUGAGAAGAUUAAGAAAACUAAAAACUUAUAAGAAGAAAAGCAAAUAUUUUAAUCUGAAGACCAAAAGACUUACCAGUUUAAACCUUCUCUUGAAAGAGAUUGAAAGAGCUCUAAUUACCCUUAGCCUUAGAUCAGCCCAAAGCAAUCUCAAUUGCUCACACGUGGAAAUAAAAAGCCUUCACUUGUUAAUACCCAAUCAAAUUGAGCCACAAAGGGCCAAAAUUAUGAGGCCUUAUAGUACAACUUAAAAUGCUUUUGAUAUUAUAGUACAACUUGAAAUGCUUUUGCUACCAAACUCUGGAUUGAUUGUUAGAGGUGAACACUUUGCAUAUAAUAUAAAGAAAUAAUUAUUAUAUUAUACAGUUUUGUACAAUAAAUUUUUUAUUAUAGUCAUGUUGGGCCCGUGCGUUGCACGGGCAUCCCCAUCUAGUAAUAUACUACAUAUGCGAGUUGCAUUACCAAUAAAUUAAUACGUACUGAACACGUUUUAACUUUUCUAAAAUCAAAAUUUUAAAGUUUGGUUGUGCAUUUGAACAUAAUUUUUAAAUUUUUAAGAAUAAAAUUUAUAUAUUUGAACAUAAUUUUUAAAUUUUUAAGAAUAAAAUUUAUAUAUUUGAACAUAAUUUUUAAAUUUUUAAGAAUAAAAUUUAUAUAUUUGAACAUAAUUUUUAAAUUUUUAAGAAUAAAAUUUAUAUAUUUGAACAUAAUUUUUAAAUUUUUAAGAAUAAAAUUUAUAUAUUUGAACAUAAUUUUUAAAUUUUUAAGAAUAAAAUUUAUAUAUUUGAACAUAAUUUUUAAAUUUUUAAGAAUAAAAUUUAUAUAUUUGAACAUAAUUUUUAAAUUUUUAAGAAUAAAAUUUAUAUAUUUGAACAUAAUUUUUAAAUUUUUAAGAAUAAAAUUUAUAUAUUUGAACAUAAUUUUUAAAUUUUUAAGAAUAAAAUUUAUAUAUUUGAACAUAAUUUUUAAAUUUUUAAGAAUAAAAUUUAUAUAUUUGAACAUAAUUUUUAAAUUUUUAAGAAUAAAAUUUAUAUAUUUGAACAUAAUUUUUAAAUUUUUAAGAAUAAAAUUUAUAUAUUUGAACAUAAUUUUUAAAUUUUUAAGAAUAAAAUUUAUAUAUUUGAACAUAAUUUUUAAAUUUUUAAGAAUAAAAUUUAUAUAUUCAAAAAUUAUAUAAAAGAUAUUAUAAAUUACAAUAAUUAAUAUUUUAAAAUAUUUUUAAAAGGUAUAUAUAAAAUUAUGAUAAAAAAAUAUUGGAUAACUUGUGCAAAUCUCACUAAUUUAAUUAGAGUACCUAAAUUCAUAUUUUGGGUCUUAGAUAUAUGUAUCUGACUCUUCCAAAUACAUGUAUCAGAGAUACUUCCUUCGUUCCUUUUGGGCCUUAAUAAGGAGUGUUGUUUGACCUGUUAAUUCCAGAAUAAUUAACGUUCUGAGCAAAGUUUUUUAAAAAAAGAUGAUGAAUCCUUUCUUGAUUGUUUAGAUUGAUAACUAUUUUGGAUCAAAUAUUUUUAGUAUACCUGACAACUAAAAAGAAACAGAGGAAGUACAUGUAAGACAUAUACAUAUCAAUUAGUGUGUCUAAUUAAAAUAUCUAAUCGAAAAUCAUCAAUUAAUGACUCUAUAUAAUUAAAGGAUAUAACUGAAAAUCAUAAUUAAGAACGGUAUCUCAAAUUGAAUGAGUUUUUAUUUUCACCCUUAUUGAUCAUUUAAUUAAAAGCUAUGAAUUAAAAUAUUUUUAUCUAUAAUACAUAUAAAUUAAAAAACUUUUGUCUCGCUUGAUGUAAAUUAUAUAAGGGUUAAGUUACGGGCAUAAGUUUUGUAGUGUUUUUUUUUUUUAAUUUUGUUGUAAUAUUCAAAAAUUGAAGUUACAUCUUUUGGACAUAUUUUCUAAAUCUUUAUCAUUUUUAGAGAAAAUAUUUUGAUAAUUAGUAUAAAAUGGUAAAAUAUAUGUGUGAUUUUUUGUGUUUUGAUUUAUUUUUAAAAAAAUAAUUCAUUAUGUUCACUUAGCAUACAACACGACUUGUUAUGUUUUUUAUGUUAUAAUUUAUUAUGCUAUUCAUGAAUUCAUAACUUGUGAGUUAUUGCUCUCCCGUAUAUGACAUAACAAGGUAUGCAUGUCCUUUUCAAUAUAGCUUAUGCCAGAUAAGAACGAUAUUCAUUCUCACUGAUACGAACAUAUAAACUUAUAUCACAAUUUUGAUGUCAAAAAUAUAUUCAAACAUUUAUUUGUUAUUUAAAGUGUGAAAAAAAAUUAAUCUUUGAAAUAAAAAUUAAACAUCAUCCCAAAUUAAUGAAUUUAAGCAAACAAUUAAAUAAGAUAAGAAUAAAUUCAGUGACGGAUCCAGUGACUCAGACAUCAGCAAAAGGAGGCCCUCUUGACCUUUCACCUAAACCCGUGCCGGAAAGGCCCAAUGUCAAUUCCAAAAAAUAGAAAAGCUUCAAAAGGUGUCUUGGUACAGAUAAUCUGCAUCUUUAACGGACAUUGAUUAGAUCAUGAGUAUGCACAACAAAAUACUAUAGCUCUUUUUCUAUGUUUGGAGGUUUCUAUUAUUAUUAGCUCAGAAAAUAAUGUAAAAUGGAAGUAAUCGAAGAUUAAGAGCUUGUUUGGCCAUAAAUAUAUGUGGAAAAAAAAAUCUGAGAAUUAGUGUUUGACCAUAUAUAUAUUUAUCGUUACUUAACAAAUAUAUUUGACAAACAUCUCAAGUUCUAGAAAAAGAAAAUAGAAUUUUGGCUAAAUUCUAGUAUUUGGGAAUUUUAAAUUUUUAAAAUUGCUAAUAUUCUAUAAAUACCCAACAUUUAUAGUUUUGGACUAAAUUUCAUUCCUAGUUUGUUUAUAUACAUAUUUUAUUCAAUUUUAUCCGAGGUCGCUCUUUGAAGUCACUUCCAAUUACAAGUAAUAAUAGUAGUUUUCGAUAUACAAUCAGUGGUAUCGUUCUUGGGAAAAUCGUAUAUAAUAGCAAACUAUUAAUUCAAAUUAAAUGCUAUAAAUAUAGUUUGAUUUAAUUGUACCUCAUAGCAAAAUGUUGUUAUUUCACCUCUCUCCUGGUGAAUCUCGCUCGCCACUCUCGUUCUCUCCCUCGCCUCUCUCGUUUUUUAUACAAACGCAAGUGUAUAAAGUGUGUUUGUGUUUGUAUAAAGCGAGAGAAAAUUGUAUAUAUACAUUCCCCUCUCCCAGAUCUCGCUUGCCACUCUCCCAGAUCUCUCUCUCUCACUCGCCUCUCUCACUUUAUACAAAACGCAAAUGUAUAAAAUGCGUGAAAAUUGUAUAUAUACAUAUAUUUUCGUUCCCCUCUCCCAGAUCUCGCUCUCUCACUUGCCUCUCUCAUUUUAUAUAAAAACGCAAAUGUAUAAAAUGCGUGAAAAUUGUAUAUAUACAUAUAUUUUCGUUCCCCUCUCUCCCCUCUCCCAGAUCUCGCUCGCCACUCUCCCAGAUCUCGCUCUCUCACUCGCCUCUCUCACUUUAUACAAAAACGCAAAUGUAUAAAAUGCGUGAAAAUUGUAUAUAUACAUAUAUUUUCGUUUCCCUCUCUCCCCUCUCCCAGAUCUCGUUCGUCACUCUCCCAGAUCUCACUCUCUCACUCGCCUCUCUCACUUUAUACAAAAAACGCAAAUUGUAUAAAAUGCGUUUGUGUUUGUAUAAAGCGAGAGAAAAUUGUAUAUAUACAUAUAUUUUCGUUUCCCUCUCUCCCCUCUCCCAGAUCUCGUUCGUCACUCUCCCAGAUCUCACUCUCUCACUCGCCUCUCUCACUUUAUACAAUUGAUCUUUUUGUAUAUGUAUACCAAAGCAGAUUAUACAACUGCUUUCUUUUGUAUAUGUAUAACGAAAUAUACAUAUAUAUGUUUGCUAUGGAGCGCAAUUAUGCAAACUUUGCUAUAACAUACAAAUAUGAAUUUUGUGUUUGCUAUAUGUGAAAGUUGCUCAUAUUUCUUUUGUUUUUCUUUCCUCUUUUUUUCAAAUUCAUAUUAAUUAUGUUUGUUGCCAGAGAGAUGAUGUUAUUAUAUGAUAGUCAAUCUAAAAAUUUCAAAUACAAAUUUAAUACACACUGAUGAUGAGCAUCUACUUCUAAAAAAUUACAAAUACAUUAUGAUAAAUUGCACCUUCAAUAUGUAGAGAAUUUUUUUUUUUAACUAUCAGUUUCCUCCAUCAUUUUUGUCCUUGUUAUCAGCAUACUUUUGAAGAUUUUCACCAUGCAAUUUGCCAUAUCUAAACUCAUCAAAAAUUUCAACUCCCAUAUUUAUGUAAAAAUCAUAUGACUUCUUAUUCCAAACUGCUACUAUUCCCUCUACCGAUACGAACCCAUUGUUGGCAGCAAUAGAUGCAACUGUCCCAAACAACAAACUCCCCAUUCCCAACUUUCUAUAAAUCUCUCUGAAGUAAAGACUUUCAAAAUAAAAUCCAGGCUUGUCAUAAAAGCACGAAUAAUUCGCGUAAAAGAAAGCAUAUCCCGCUAUGUAAACAUCACUCUUAUCAUCAUAUUUUGAUUGGAACUCCUCAACUUGUCCUUCCACCACAGGGAAUUUAAGGUCGAACGUUGUAAGGACGGGCUUGAACCCUUCGUCCGUGGUAUUUUUAGGUUCGUUAAAAGGUGUUGGAGAGACUUCGAGUAGAAGUACAGAUGGCCCGUAGAAAAGUGGAAGAGGGUUUUCUUUAAAGAGCAAGUUAGCUAAGGAGGACUCGGUAGCUUUGUAUAAAUGAGUGUUCUUAUGGUAUGCAUGGAUUUGGUAAAAUAAUUGGUAUAUAUGAGACAGAUCGGAUUUCGUAGCGAGACGAAGUCUUGUGUAUAUCUUUCCGGUGAUGGUAACGUUGUUGUUUUCCGAUGAUGCAUCGUCGGUGGUUAUUGUUUCAGAUAGAGAUGAAGCCAUGGUAAUGAGGCAAGCUUGAAGAGCUAGGUAAGAAAAGAGUGUAGGAAAUAUUGAAAGGACUAUGAAGAAG
rnacentral:lncRNA from 1 species